CUCAAAACGUGGCGAGUCCUAAACUUUCGUCUGUCGACUCUCUCUUCUUCUCCCUCUCUCUCUCUCUCUCGGGCAAAGUCUCUCACUUUAAUUCUCUCUCUGUCUAUAACUCUCUAUCUCUGUUAGAUUCUGCCAAUAUACCGGUGGUCGCCACCGAAACCGUAUACGAUACGCUAUUUUUUUUUUCUUUUUCAUUUCGGCGAGCUGGCUGCCUGAGCUUCAGCUACUACCUUUUGUUUUUAUUAUAGAGAAAUUUUAAAGUUUGUUAUGAGAAGAUUAUAAAACCCCUGGGUGUCUAUGACGUCACUCAGACCAUCACUGAAAAGGAAUGCCUUCCUUGAUGGGGGAAAAUGUGGAUUAAAAAUGAAGCAGUUGCCACUUAUGGGAAUUUUGUUUACAGCGAUGUUGUUCAUUGUGUAUAGAACCACAAUUUAUCAAUAUCAACAUACACAGGUACAGAUAUCCGAUUGCAUCUCUAAAUCUUCUAAGGAACAAAUGGGCAAACAAAAUCUUCUGCUGAUUAUCGUCCAGUGGUCAAUUUGUGGAUUAUUUUACUAUUUAUUUAUUUGCUUUUUUUUUUUUAUUAUUGCACUUUUAUCUAAUGAAUUCCAACAGCAGUGCUAUUGAUGGUAUUUGUUUAACUGUUUGAAGUAAUUUUCCAAUUGUAAUGUAAAUUCUCAGUAUCCAUACUGUUAUUCAUGUCACUUUUAAGAUUGAGUUAGAUUCUGCUUCUUGUAACAUUCAUAAGUUUGUAACAAUCAUCAGUUAAUAGUCCAUUUACAACAUCUCUACUGAUGGAUUUAGUCAGAGCAGCUUUGCUCUAGUAGUAGGUUUAGCUCGUUGUACUGAAUGGUGCUUCUUCUAUUAACCUUGUUUAUCUUUGUUCUCAUAUCAUGUUGGAAGUUUGCUCAUUUUUUUUUCUAUUCUUGUUCUGUUAUCAGAUGGAAUCAAAAUUACUCCCAUUUGACUCAUUAAAGGAAUCAGCUUUGGCUUCUGGAUUGUUGGGUGGUUUGCCUCUGGGCAUCAUACGGGCUAGUUCAGAUUUGGAGUUAAAGCCUCUAUGGUCAACAAGUAGCUCAAGGUCAAAGAUUGAUAAUUCUAGCCAUCGCAACUUGCUGGCUAUUCCAGUUGGUAUUAAGCAAAAGCACAAUGUUGAUGCCAUUGUCCAAAAGAGAAUUUUACUGUUAUUUUAUUCCAUUAUGAUGGCUUUCUGGAUGGGUGGUGGGAUCUUAAAUGGAGCAACAAGGCCAUACACAUAGUUGCUCAGAACCAAACAAAGUGGUGGUUUGCAAAGCGAUUUCUGCAUCCAGCUGUUGUGUCUAUCUAUGAUUACAUAUUUCUAUGGGAUGAAGAUUUAGGGGUCGCAAAUUUUGAUCCAGGAAGGUAAAUUAAUUUGCUUGUUGGAUAGUCAACUCUUCAGUGCGUUCCAUAUUGUUGGUCUUUGAGAAUGUUGUUACUUCUGUAUAUGUACUAUUAAUUUGAAAGUUUAUAAUUGGCUUAUGACCUUUCAUUCCUCCAAAAGAUUAGCAUCAUUCUUAUUCUAGGUGAUGUGAUCUUCUGUAUCUAGAGUGUUGAGGACAGUGGUGUAAGUGAUAAUUUAUAUUUAGAUCACCGAUAUAUCGAGAAAUUUGUUUGGUCUGCCUGGAAUCAUCUACAUUUCCUCUGUGGACAUCUUCCAAAUUUUGGUUUUUGUUAUUUAAUAUGCCAGUAUGCCAUCCGCUGCUAUUUAUCCUGCUCUCUACACUUAUGCAGGACCUGUAUUCACAACCCUCUUUAAUGUUUUAUUGCACUUUCGCUAGAUAAUUAAAUUUUGCUUGGCGAGUUAUCUUGAAAUUGUUAAUAGUAGCACAUUUGCAAUAUUUUGUCCAAUUUCUUGAUUUCUAGUUGUGCUUUACAAGGUUCAUAUUCUGUUCAGGAAAACAAUUAAUUGAUUGAUAGGUUUUUUUUACUAGAUACUUGGAAAUUGUAAGAUCAGAAGGGCUGGAGAUAUCUCAGCCAGCUUUAGACCCUAAUUCAACUGACAUACAUCAUAGAAUUACCAUAAGGUCCAGAAUGAAGAAGUUUCAUAGAAGAGUCUAUGAUAGCAGAGGCAGUACUAAAUGUUCUGAUGUCAGUGAGGGGCCUCCAUGCACUGGAUUUGUGGAAGGAAUGGCUCCUGUAUUUUCAAGAUCUGCUUGGUAUUGUGCUUGGCAUCUUAUACAGAAUGAUCUAGUCCAUGGAUGGGGAAUGGAUAUGAAACUCGGAUAUUGUGCACAGGUAAGAAAUUCCUGAGUUUUUUGACACAAGGCCUAACUGUUCAGUUUUCUUAUUUGUAUGUGGAAAAUAAUCAUGUGUAUCAUUGUAUCUGCAUCAUGUUUGUUAGACUUGUCCUGUCCUUUCUUUUCUUUUAGAUUAUAUUUGUUAAUGUUGAAACCAUAAUUAUGUGUCUGCAUAAAUGUGGCAUAAUGCACACAGGGAGAUCGCACGAAGAAGGUGGGAGUCAUUGAUAGUGAGUACAUUGUUCAUCAGGGCAUACAAACUUUGGGUGGGGGUGGACCUCCUGGAAAAAAGACUUCAACAACCAGUGAAGAAUUGACCAAGGUAAAACUUAACCAGUAAUAGCUGCUCCUCUCUUUUUUCCUUUUCAUACAAAUAUUUUAACAAUUAUGGUUAUUCUAAAUUUGUCACAAUUUUUUACCAUAUGUUUUCUUUCUUUAUAUUCAGAAAAGUGGUGCUUCACCCAUGGAUCCUCGAAUGGAGGUGAGACUACCGAUCCUCCAAUUCAUCAUCAUCAUAUUUAGUCUGACCAUUUUAUGUUUUUCUACCUUUUUACCGAGUUUAAUUGCCUGGAAUCUGGGAUGACUUUAUGGUUAAUGCAGCGAGCCUAGUUAGAUUGUUAUGGUUUUAUACACCUUGUAUUUGAUUAUUACAAAAUGAUUUGAAACAAGGUUCAAGUGUCAUUGGCACCUUCUUUCCUUUGGUUGUU
rnacentral:misc_RNA from 1 species